rnacentral:tRNA from 1 species
GAAAAGGUGGCUGAAUAAUAGGCGAUAGGCUGUAAACUUAUAAAUGAAAAUAAUUUUCCCUUUUCA